rnacentral:hammerhead_ribozyme from 1 species
GCACUGCUGAAGAGUUCCACACUAGGACGAAACAGCCGUCCAGUGU